UGGUAGAGGUGCGGUUUUCAAUAGUAGCAUCACAGCAAGGCGGGCGGCCGCUGUAUGUGAAAGGGGAAACUGCCGAAGGGAUUUUCCGCUGCCCGGCGGGCUUCCCUGGGACUGCGCAGAAUAUGCGCUGUACUGUCACAUGUGACAAAUUGUCACGCAGGUGGAGCGCUAUCAU
rnacentral:ncRNA from 1 species